rnacentral:rRNA from 1 species
GACGAACGCUGGCGGCGUGCUUAACACAUGCAAGUCGAACGGAAAGGCCCUGCUUUUGUGGGGUGCUCGAGUGGCGAACGGGUGAGUAACACGUGAGUAACCUGCCCUUGACUUUGGGAUAACUUCAGGAAACUGGGGCUAAUACCGGAUAGGAGCUCCUGCUGCAUGGUGGGGGUUGGAAAGUUUCGGCGGUUGGGGAUGGACUCGCGGCUUAUCAGCUUGUUGGUGGGGUAGUGGCUUACCAAGGCUUUGACGGGUAGCCGGCCUGAGAGGGUGACCGGCCACAUUGGGACUGAGAUACGGCCCAGACUCCUACGGGCGGCAGCAGUGGGGAAUAUUGCACAAUGGGCGGAAGCCUGAUGCAGCAACGCCGCGUGCGGGAGGACGGCCUUCGGGUGGUAAACCGCUUUCGCCUGUGACGAAGCGUGAGUGACGGUAAUGGGGAAAGAAGCACCGGCUAACUACGU